UUAAUUCAUAGCUUUUUGAUACUCAGGCAAUCAACAUAAGCUAUAAAAAGGUUUUCUAUUGAGUAAUGAUUUUGAUUAUUCGAGUUUAAGAAUGGAGCAGGAAUGCCGACGCAUAUUUUUCGAUUAUUAUUUGACUUGUGACUUAAGUUAGCUAUAAAUAUAAAGUUAUGGCGUUAAAACAUGCAUAAAGGAAUCGCUGUUUGGAUAUUGUUAAUAUUAAUACCAAGUUCUCAAGGAUUUUCGAACGUAUUGCCGAGGCCCAUAAAUAAAAAUAUAUACGGUGCGCUGUGCGGAUCGAAUUUUGUGAAUUACGCAUCCCUACCUCAUUUUAUAGAGGCACAGAAAAGGAAGCCGCAUCUCUAUGUUUUACACAGAGGCAAGUGCAAAAAAAUAUGUCAGAUAUAUUCGCCUGUGUGUGCAAGUAACUGGAGGACUUAUAAUAAUGAGUGUCAGUUGGAAUACGCAAAAGAGAAAAAUAAAAAUCUUUAUCUAAGAUACAAAGGAAAGUGUGCAUUGAAACUUCUGAGUCAUCUUAAACGUGUAACGUUGAUUGACUAUGAAUAUUAUUUUGGGAACGAUGAAGAUUAUUAUGAUUUAAAAAAAUGUACAAUACAUUGUUGAUAUAACAUGGUU